GAGUUUGAUCAUGGCUCAGAAUCAACGCUGGCGGCGCGCCUAACACAUGCAAGUCGAACGAGAAAGUCCGCAAGGAUGAGUACAGUGGCGUACGGGUGAGUAACACGUGGAUCAUCUACCUUUUAGUGGGGAAUACCGUUGGGAAACCGACGACAAUACCGCAUAAUCCCGAGAGGGGAAAGCAGCAAUGCGCUGAAAGAGGAGUCCGCGGCUGAUUAGCUAGUUGGCAGGGUAAUGGCCUACCAAGGCAACGAUCAGUAGCCGGCCUGAGAGGGCACACGGCCACACUGGCACUGAAACACGGGCCAGACUCCUACGGGAGGCAGCAGUGGGGAAUCUUGCACAAUGGGGGCAACCCUGAUGCAGCGACGCCGCGUGAGCGAUGAAGCCCUUCGGGGUGUAAAGCUCUUUCGGCAGGGAAGAUGAUGACGGUACCUGCAGAAGCAGCUGCGGCUAACUACGUGCCAGCAGCCGCGGUAAUACGUAGGCAGCAAGCGUUGUUCGGAGUUACUGGGCGUAAAGGGUGUGUAGGCGGUUCCCUAAGUUUGGUGUGAAAUCUCCCGGCUUAACCGGGAGGGUGCGCCGAAAACUGGGGAGCUAGAGUGUGGGAGAGGAAAGUGGAAUUCCUGGUGUAGCGGUGAAAUGCGUAGAUAUCAGGAGGAACACCUGCGGUGUAGACGGCUUUCUGGACCAUAACUGACGCUGAGACACGAAAGCGUGGGUAGCAAACAGGAUUAGAUACCC
rnacentral:rRNA from 1 species